UACGUAGGGGGCAAGCGUUGUCCGGAAUCAUUGGGCGUAAAGCGCGCGUAGGCGGCUAGAUCAGUCUGCUGUAAAAGUCAAAGGCUCAACCUUUGAAAGCCGGUGGAUACUGUCUAGCUAGAGUCCGGAAGAGGCGAGUGGAAUUCCUCGUGUAGCGGUGGAAUGCGCAGAUAUCAGGAGGAACACCAACGGCGAAGGCAGCUCUCUUGGACGGUACUGACGCUAAGGCGCGAAAGCGUGGGGAGCGAACAGG
rnacentral:rRNA from 1 species